rnacentral:rRNA from 1 species
AUAUCAAUAAGCGGAGGAAAAGAAACCAACAGGGAUUGCCUUAGUAACGGCGAGUGAAGCGGCAAGAGCUCAAAUUUGAAAUCUGGUACUUUCAGUGCCCGAGUUGUAAUUUGAAGAGUGCUAUCUUGGAAUUGGUCCUUGUCUAUGUUCCUUGGAACAGGACGUCAUAGAGGGUGAGAAUCCCGUGCGGUGAGGAUACCUUUUCUUUGUAAGAUGUGCUCGAAGAGUCGAGUUGUUUGGGAAUGCAGCUCUAAGUGGGUGGUAAAUUCCAUCUAAAGCUAAAUAUUGGCGAGAGACCGAUAGCGAACAAGUACAGUGAUGGAAAGAUGAAAAGAACUUUGAAAAGAGAGUGAAAAAGUACGUGAAAUUGUUGAAAGGGAAGGGUAUUCGAUCAGACUUGGUAUUUAGUUAUCUCUUCUCCUUGUGGGAGGGGCUCUAGCUUUUUACUGGGCCAGCAUCAGUUUUGGUGGUAAGAUAAUUGCAGUUGAACGUGGCUCCUCGGAGUGUUUAUAGCUUCUGCUGAUAUUGCCCACCGGGACUGAGGUCUGCGGCUUUAGCCUAGGAUGCUGGCGUAAU